GGAGGAAAAGAAACCAACAGGGAUUGCCUCAGUAACGGCGAGUGAAGCGGCAAAAGCUCAAAUUUUAAAGCUGGCACCUCCGGUGUCCGCGUUGUAAUUUUGUGAGGCAUCUCCGGGUGGGGCGCCGGCCUAAGUUCCUUGGAACAGGACGUCAUAGAGGGUGAGAAUCCCGUGCUUGGCUGGCUGUCCCCGUCCAUGUGAGGUGUCUUCGACGAGUCGAGUUGUUUGGGAAUGCAGCUCAAAAUGGGUGGUAAAUUUCAUCUAAAGCUAAAUAUUGGUGGGAGACCGAUAGCGCACAAGUAGAGUGAUCGAAAGAUGAAAAGCACUUUGAAAAUAGAGUUAAAAAGUACGUGAAAUUGUUGAAAGGGAAGCGCUUGAGACCAGACUUCGGUGGGGAGUGAUCAGCCGUCCUUCUGGGCGGUGCACUUGCCCCCCUCCGGGCCAGCAUCGGUUGGGACGGCGGGAUAAAGGUCCCGGGAAUGUGGCUCCUCUCGGGGAGUGUUAUAGCCCGGGUGAAUGCCGCCAGCCCCGACCGAGGACCGCGCCUUCGGGCUAGGAUGCUUGGCAUAAUGGUCUUCAGCGACCCGU
rnacentral:rRNA from 1 species